AACUGCUUCCGCCUACUCACUAGAUCCAGAGGGAAGGUCACGGCAAACUAAAGGGGCAACAUAAUAUAAACCAAGCUGUCCAUUUACUAUUUUGAUAUGCUUAAUUUUAAAUCUUAUGCUUCAAAAACAAACCGACUUAUGCACAGAGCACUAAACAAGAAUCAACCACGUCAGUUUCAAAUUAGAAGAGCAAAAUGCAAUCAUGCCUUGCUAGUUCUUUGCAUCAUCACUAAGUUUCCACAAGAACCAGUAUAUUCUAAUACACAUAUUAAUAGACAUGACGAAGUCCUCAAAGAGACAAAGAUGUACUACUGAGGCUUCAAGGAUUGACAAAUCCAACAAAAGUAAAAGAGAGCCCAAGUGAGAAGCAUACCUCAGAUGGGGCACCUCUAACACCUGAAAAUGAUAUUCUAGUAUAUGUAUAUGAUUAUUAGUGUCAAACUCCACUAUAACCCACCACAAUGCUCGGGAAGACUGCUACUAAAACCAAUUUUAUGCAACAUUCUUAUAAGUUGACAU